UACGUAGGUGGCAAGCGUUGUCCGGAUUUACUGGGCGUAAAGAGCGCGCAGGCGGUCGUUCAAGUCGCGUGUGAAAGCCCCCCGGCUCAACUGGGGAGGGUCACGCGAUACUGAUCGACUCGAAGGCAGGAGAGGGAAGUGGAAUUCCCGGUGUAGUGGUGAAAUGCGUAGAUAUCGGGAGGAACACCAGUGGCGAAGGCGGCUACCUGGACAAUUGCUGACGCUCAGGCACGAAAGCGUGGGGAGCAAAAGGGAGUUAGAU
rnacentral:rRNA from 1 species